rnacentral:rRNA from 1 species
GACGAACGCUGGCGGCGUGCCUAAUACAUGCAAGUAGAACGCACAGUUUAUACCGUAGCUUGCUACACCAUAGACUGUGAGUUGCGAACGGGUGAGUAACGCGUAGGUAACCUGCCUGGUAGCGGGGGAUAACUAUUGGAAACGAUAGCUAAUACCGCAUAAUAUUAAUUAUUGCAUGAUAAUUAAUUGAAAGGUGCAAUUGCACCACUACCAGAUGGACCUGCGUUGUAUUAGCUAGUAGGUGAGGUAACGGCUCACCUAGGCGACGAUACAUAGCCGACCUGAGAGGGUGAUCGGCCACACUGGGACUGAGACACGGCCCAGACUCCUACGGGAGGCAGCAGUAGGGAAUCUUCGGCAAUGGACGAAAGUCUGACCGAGCAACGCCGCGUGAGUGAAGAAGGUUUUCGGAUCGUAAAGCUCUGUUGUAAGAGAAGAACGGGUGUGAGAGUGGAAAGUUCACACUGUGACGGUAUCUUACCAGAAAGGGACGGCUAACUACGCG